rnacentral:rRNA from 1 species
CCUGAUAGUUUGAUCCUUGGCUCAUCGAAGAUGCUCAUCACGGCUGUGCGCGAAAAUUUCGAACGGGUGAGUAACACGUGAGUAACCUGCCCUUAACUCUGGGAUAAGCCUGGGAAACUGGGUCUAAUACCGGAUAGGAGCGUCCACCGCAUGGUGGGUGUUGGAAAGAUUUAUCGGUUUUGGAUGGACUCGCGGCCUAUCAGCUUGUUGGUGAGGUAAUGGCUCACCAAGGCGACGACGGGUAGCCGGCCUGAGAGGGUGACCGGCCACACUGGGACUGAGACACGGCCCAGACUCCUACGGGAGGCAGCAGUGGGGAAUAUUGCACAAUGGGCGAAAGCCUGAUGCAGCGACGCCGCGUGAGGGAUGACGGCCUUCGGGUUGUAAACCUCUUUCAGUAGGGAAGAAGCGAAAGUGACGGUACCUGCAGAAGAAGCACCGGCUAACUACGUGCCAGCAGCCGCGGUAAUACGUAGGGUGCGAGCGUUAUCCGGAAUUAUUGGGCGUAAAGAGCUCGUAGGCGGUUUGUCGCGUCUGUCGUGAAAGUCCGGGGCUUAACCCCGGAUCUGCGGUGGGUACGGGCAGACUAGAGUGCAGUAGGGGAGACUGGAAUUCCUGGUGUAGCGGUGGAAUGCGCAGAUAUCAGGAGGAACACCGAUGGCGAAGGCAGGUCUCUGG